rnacentral:rRNA from 1 species
UACGAAGGGGGCUAGCGUUGUUCGGAAUUACUGGGCGUAAAGCGUGCGCAGGCGGCUUCUCAAGUCAGGGGUGAAAGCCCAGAGCUCAACUCUGGAAUUGCCUUUGAGACUGAGUGGCUUGAGUACGAGAGAGGUGAGUGGAAUUCCCAGUGUAGAGGUGAAAUUCGUAGAUAUUGGGAAGAACACCGGUGGCGAAGGCGGCUCACUGGCUCGUAACUGACGCUCAUGCACGAAAGCAUGGGGAUCAAACAGG